AUGACCGAUCUAGGACACUGUCCCUGUGCUGCCACUCACCUGGGAGGCGUGCUGCUCAGUGAUAAUGGCAGUGGGAGAGCCAGAAGCAGCUAUCCGCCUCUAGUGAUGCUGAAAUGGGAUUUGGGCUGUGCUCGGGCGGAGGAGGUUAUUAUGGAUCAGGGGGGCCUGGUUUUGAACAGAGCUAAACUGGGCUGUGGUACGACUAGAACCGCUGGGAUGUCUGUUAGCUUUCCUCGCUAACAAUGGCAGAUAAGACAAAAGUGGUUGUUUGCCAUCUCUCUCUUACACACCGGCCCAUUAAAGGUGUGCUGUUAUCUGAUAAGCCGUGAGGGGUGUGAUCACUUACACACAUAAACACACAAAUACACACCUGCUGUCCCUCAUUCAGUGCUCACUUAUGACCUCAAACCCGUCUCACUCGGUCCACAGUGUCCCUACACUGAAAGAGAGAGAAACUGUUUUGUGGCUCUGUGAUUUUUCUGUUGUUUUGUCUCGUUCAAGUGCCCUCUAGCUUAUUUUCCUUAUUCUUAUCAUUCCAUCUGGCUGCUAGUCACACAUUAAUCUAAAUUCUAAAACAGGGUUUCCUCCAGUGGUGUUAUCAACUCGUCGUUGAUGUGAGCGUUGGCCCAGGAGAGGGGACGCGGGCAAAGGGGGGAAAAAC
rnacentral:lncRNA from 1 species